rnacentral:rRNA from 1 species
UGGGGAAUAUUGCACAAUGGGCGCAAGCCUGAUGCAGCCAUGCCGCGUGUGUGAAGAAGGCCUUCGGGUUGUAAAGCACUUUCAGCGGGGAGGAAGGCGUUAAGGUUAAUAACCUUGGCGAUUUACGUUACCCGCAGAAGAAGCACCGGCUAACUCCGUGCCAGCAGCCGCGGUAAUACGGAGGGUGCAAGCGUUAAUCGGAAUUACUGGGCGUAAAGCGCACGCAGGCGGUCUGUCAAGUCGGAUGUGAAAUCCCCGGGCUCAACCUGGGAACUGCAUUCGAAACUGGCAGGCUAGAGUCUUGUAGGGGAGGGUAGAAUUCCAGGGGUAGCGGUGAAAUGCGUAGAGAUCUGGAGGAAUACCGGUAGCGAAGGCGGCCCCCUGGACAAAGACUGACGCUAAGGUGCGAAAGCGUGGGGAGCAAACAGG